rnacentral:misc_RNA from 1 species
UCUCCGUUGGUGAACCAGCGGAGGGAUCAUUACGAAAGGAGUUUUCGGACUCUUAAACCCUUUGUGAACCUUACCUAUCGUCAGUUGCUUCGGCGGGAGGCCCCUGGGAGGGGCCCCGGGGCCCGGUCCUGAGCCGGGCUCCCGCCGGAGGAGCGCAAACCUAAACUCUUUGUUGCACCUCAGUGGAACCUCCGAGUAAAAAUAAAUAAAACAAGUUAAAACUUUCAACAACGGAUCUCUUGGUUCUGGCAUCGAUGAAGAACGCAGC